rnacentral:rRNA from 1 species
AACGAACGCUGGCGGCGUGGAUAAGACAUGCAAGUCGAACGGGAUAUUAUUUGUAGCAAUACAGAUGAUGUCCAGUGGCGUAAGGGUGCGUAACACGUGGGGAAUCUGCCGAAAAGUGGGGGAUAGCUCGCCGAAAGGCGAAUUAAUACCGCAUGUGGUUAGUGAAGACAUCUUCACAACACCAAAGCCGGGGCAACCUGGCGCUUUUUGAUGACCCCGCGGCCUAUCAGCUAGUUGGUGAGGUAACGGCUCACCAAGGCUAUGACGGGUAGCUGGUCUGAGAGGACGACCAGCCACACUGGAACUGAGACACGGUCCAGACACCUACGGGUGGCAGCAGUCGAGAAUUUUUCUCAAUGGGGGAAACCCUGAAGGAGCGACGCCGCGUGGAGGAUGAAGGUCUUCGGAUUGUAAACUCCUGUCAUUUGGGAACAAUUGCUACGCGUUAACUGCGCGGAGCUUGAUAGUACCAGAAGAGGAAGAGACAGCUAACUCUGUGCCAGCCGCCGCAGUAAAC